ACAAAUGAUAUCCCUCAAAAAAGGUGUCAGCUGGAUAAAAAUCAGUCAAAUUAUUUGGCCAUCUGUAAUACGUAUUAAGGCUAAAUUCAUAUUACUGACUUAAGUGACCACAUUCUGAUUUACAAAUGAGAUGGAUUUUCUGGAG